GCCAGCAUGGUUCAAUGGUUUGAGCAUUGGACUACAACUCUGGAGAUCAGGGUUUGAUCCCCUGCUCGAGCA